AACGAACGCUGGCGGCAUGCCUAACACAUGCAAGUCGAACGAGACCUUCGGGUCUAGUGGCGCACGGGUGCGUAACGCGUGGGAAUCUGCCCUUGGGUUCGGAAUAACAGUUGGAAACGACUGCUAAUACCGGAUGAUGACGUAAGUCCAAAGAUUUAUCGCCCAAGGAUGAGCCCGCGUAGGAUUAGCUAGUUGGUGAGGUAAAGGCUCAACAAGGCGACGAUCCUUAGCUGGUCUGAGAGGAUGAUCAGCCACACUGGGACUGAGACACGGCCCAGACUCCUACGGGAGGCAGCAGUGGGGAAUAUUGGACAAUGGGCGAAAGCCUGAUCCAGCAAUGCCGCGUGAGUGAUGAAGGCCUUAGGGUUGUAAAGCUCUUUUACCCGGGAUGAUAAUGACAGUACCGGGAGAAUAAGCUCCGGCUAACUCCGUG
rnacentral:rRNA from 1 species